UAAUUUUCUUGGGUUGAAAGUUACGCAGACAGUGCAUUCUGAUGCUGUCAUUUAUUUUAAUGCAAAACUUUGGUGAUGCCCACUCUCGCCUCACGGUGCAGGCUCCUCCCUACCCCCGGGUAGCAGCAUCACAUUGCUUUUCAUGACCCUGUCAUCUCAUGCUUCCAGUUGGCUUUGGUGUUGGAUGAUUUUCAGAGCGGUGAACCAAUGGUCUCUGAGGGGCCUCCCCUGCUGGUCCCAGGGUUAUGGGGCUCAGCUCUGUCGUCAGCCUACCUUGUGACCCAGAUUCAGCUGGGCUUUCCAGAUGGUCCUUUUCCAUCAGUCAUGACUUUGACUUCCACCAGUAACUGGUCUUCAUGUGGCUGCAUCCUGCUCCCAUUGGCGACUCUGCUGAGUGACCCACAUUAGCUGUGGUCAUUGGUUCAGUCCUCUCUGUGAUGUUCAGUGCAUGACCAGAUGUGAGAUAAACUGAAUAGAUUGGAUGCUAUGUCACUUAUUGUCAUAAUUCUGACUUUUCAACUGUUCUUGAUAUUACAGUGGACUAAAGAGGAUGGACAUAGAACUUCCACCUCUGCUGUCCCUAACCUGUUUGUUCCAUUGAACACUAACCCAAAAGAGGUCCAGGAGAUGAGGAACAAGAUCCGAGAGCAGAACUUACAGGACAUUAAGACGGCUGGCCCUCAGUCCCAGGUUUUGUGUGGUGUAGUGAUGGACAGGAGCCUCGUCCAGGGAGAGCUGGUGACGGCCUCCAAGGCCAUCAUUGAGAAGGAGUACCAGCCCCACGUCAUUGUGAGCACCACGGGCCCCAACCCCUUCACCACACUCACAGACCGUGAGCUGGAGGAGUACCGCAGGGAGGUGGAGAGGAAGCAGAAGGGCUCUGAAGAGAAUCUGGACGAGGCUAGAGAACAGAAAGAAAAGAGUCCUCCAGACCAGCCUGCGGUCCCCUACCCGCCUCCCAGCACUCCCAUCA
rnacentral:sRNA from 1 species